rnacentral:lncRNA from 1 species
GCUUGUAACUCAGCUCACACCCAACCAAUCAGGUAGUAAAGAGGGCUCACUAAAAUACAAAUUAGGCUAAAGCAGGAGGUAAAGAAAUAGUCAAAUCAUAUAUCGCCAGACAGCACAGUGGGAGGGACAGUGAUCGGGAUAUAAACCCGGGCAUUUGAGCAGGGAGCGGCAACCCCCUUUGGGUCCCCUCCCAUUGUAUGGGAGCUCUGUUUUCACUCUAUUAAAUCUUGCAACUGCACACUCUUCCGGUCAGUGUUUGUUACCGCUCGAGCUGAGUUUUCGCUCACCGUCCACCACCGCUGUUUGCCGCCAUCGCAGACCCACAGCUGACUUCCACCCCUCCAGAUCCGGCAGGGCGUCCGCUGGGCUACUGAUCCAGCGAGGCGCCCAUUGCCGCUCCCCAUGGGGCUAAGGGCUCUCCAUUGUUCCUGCGCGGCUAAGUGCCCUGGUUCAUCCUAAUUGAGCUGAACACUAGUCCCUGGGUUCCAUGGCUCUCAGUGACCCAUGGCUUCUAAUAGAGCUGUAACACUUACUGCAUCGCCCAAGGUUCCAUUCCUUGGAAUCCGUGAGGCCAAGAACCCCAGGUCAGAGAACAAAAGGCUUGCCGCCAUGUUGGGAGUGGUCCGCUGCCAUCUUGGGAGCUCUAAGAACAAAGACCUGCCGGUAACAGUUCUAUAACAAGAACUGCCUUGCAAGCGAUGCACGGGAUGCCUGCCCUCCCACCGCCAUUAAUAAGAAGAUGGAUGACUACAUCAGUGGGGAAGCUUUACAACACGAAGAGGCUUAAGAUCCAGGUCAAACUGUCGACUAAUCGCCAUCAAAAAGAGCAAUUCAAAUUCAACUAUGCCAAAAAGAAAUGAUUGAUUUGGGCAGGAGUCUGUCAAUGUUCAAAUGGACAACACUACAAACCUCCAUCCAUCAAGUUAAAUGCAGGCUGUAAUCUGAGGCUACAAGUUUUAGCUAAUUCAUCCUGGUGGCCUUAUCAGCAGGCUGUGUGCUUCCAAAGAGGCUUCUAAAGGGACUCUCCGGAGGCCACUUCGUGUCAUGGAAGUCUUUUGAUUCUCCUGGCCAAAAUGCUCCCUUCCUGGUUCUAUGAUGGGAAAUUAUGGAGUUUCAAAUGAGAACUUCUCUGAGUAUUGAAAUCCUAGCUUCAUUUUGAGGGAAAUGUUUUCUUUUUCUUUGUUUUUUUGAGACAGGGUCUCACUCUGUUGCCCAGACUGGAUGGAGUGCAGUGGCCCAGUCUGAGCUCACUGCAGCCUCAACUUCCUGGGCUCAAGCAAUCCUCCUGCCUCAACCUCCCAAGUAGCUGGGACUCCAGGAAUGUGCCAUCUUGCCUGGCUAUUUCUUUUUUUUUUUUUUUUUCUGGCUAUUUCUUUUUUUAGAGAUGGGAUCUUACUAUGUUGUCCAGGCCAGUCUCAAACUCCUGGCCUCAAGUGAUCCUCCCACCUCAGCCUCCUGAGGAGCUGGGAUUACAGAUGUAAACCACUGAGCCUAGCCAAGGGAAAUGUUUUCUUAUCUGUAACCUCCCCUGUGAGUUAUACCCAUGCAAAGGGAAAGUAAUCUCUGCUUCAGGGCAAAAGCAAAGGCUUUACAACUUUGUUCCUGAAUAGAAAGUAAUCUUUGUCAACUGGGAUCUAACAUAUAAAAUACAUGUCUAUUACUUGACUGGAUGACAACACAAUGGAUCCUUCCUUGAAAACUUAUACCCUAAAGCUAACUCUGCACAAUCAAUCAGAAAAGGAGGAACUUUUUGUUUGUUUCUUUGUGGGUUGUCUGUUUAUCUUAAGGAAAUUGAUUAACUCUUUGAGUCACCAUGGGAUGGUGAAUCGGGUUUGAAAUUCAGCUUCCAGGAGCCAUCCCCAAAAUCACACCGCAGAACUGAACUGAUGAGGGAACCAUUGGGAGUGACCCUGAGCUCUGGACACUUCAAUUGGCCCCUCCACUUUAACACAAGGAACUUCACCCACCCUGCCACUACUACUGCUGCCUUCAGUACUGAGAGAGCUCCACACCCCUGCCUUGUAACUUUGGGACCAGAGCCAGUUUGACAUGGUUAUAACCAAUGGCACAGCCUAAGUCACAUGCCUGAACGCUAGUUUCAAAGGACACUAGGAAAACAAAUUUAGAUUAUUUUUAAGGACCUGGCAUGUUCAGUCAUGCCUGUAAUCCCAGCAUUUUGGGAGGCCAAGGCAAGAGGAUCACUUGAGGCCAGGAGUUCAAGACCAGCCUGGACAACAUAGCAAGACUCCAUUUCUACAAAAAAAAAAAAAAAAUUAAUCAGCCAGGUGUAAUGAUGCACACUUGUAGUCCCAGACACUCAGGAGGCUGAGGUGGGACAAUCUCUUAAGCCCAGGAGUUCGAGGCUUCAGUGAGCUAUGAUUGCACCACUGCACUCCAGCCUGGCUGACAGAGCGAGACUCUUGUCUCUAAAAGAAAAAAAGUGGGCCGGGCGCGGUGGCUCACGUCUGUAAUCCCAGCACUUUGGGAGGCCGAGGCAGGCAGAUCACGAGGUCAGGAGAUCGAGACCAUCCUGGCUAACAUGGUGAAACCCCGUCUCUACUAAAAAUACAAAAAAAUUAGCCGGGCUUGGUGGCGGGAGCCUGUAGUCCCAGCUACUCAGGAGGCUGAGGCAAGAGAAUGGCGUGAACCUGGGAGGUGGAGCUUGCAGUGAGCCGAGAUCGCACCACCGCAUUCCAGCCUGGGUGACAGAGCAAGACUUUGUCUCAAAAUUAAAUAAAUAAAUGAAUAAAUAAAUAAAUGAAAAAAAGUGAUAGUUUUAGGGCUUAUACAGGGUAGUUUUUGCCCUAAACCAAGAUUCAAAAAAUGAGGCUUUUCCUAAGCAGAGAAUGGGAUUCAGUUGCUACAUGACUGUGAUGAAUGACAAAUAUCCACCCCAAGUACCAUUCAGGAACUAUACUUCCAAAGUCUCAUUUUUAUAAUAACUGGUCCUGUAUUUAUGAAUAAGAAUGUAUACACAGCACAAGCUGGCCAUAGGUCAACAAUGUCAGUGGUUCCAAAACCUAACUAUUCAUCAGAAUGAUUAGAGGAUCUUUGUUCAGGCUCCAGGUAUAGAGAUUCUGAUUCAGGGGGUCUAAAUCAGGGCUUCAGAAUGUGCACUUUUAACAAAUCCCCCAGGUAACUCAAACAUGAUCAGGCUCCAGUCAUUUGGAAACUAGAUUUUUUUUCUUUCUAAAAAAUUUUUAUAUUUUUUAAUAAAUAGAAACGGGGUUUUACUGUGUUGCCCAGGAUGGUCUCCAACUCCUGGGCUCAAGCGACCCACCUGCCUUGGCCUCCCAAAGUGCUAGGAUUACAGUUGUGAGCCACCUCACCCAGUCUGAAAACUACUUGAAACCCUGUCCCUACACUCACAGCCAACAGAAAGCAAAUACUGGCCUAACAUUAGUUUUGCUCCUAAAGUCCAAGAAAUGGCCACAUAAAGAAUCCAUUCUCAUAUUCUAUAAAUUUACUAUAAAAGAUAUCAAAUUCAGGGAAAACUAAUAGGUAAUUAAUAAUUUAAGCUUGUCUAUAUGAUGAAUUUUUGUGUGGAAUUUUAUUUUUAUUUUUAUUUAUUUAUUUAUUUAUUUAUUUUGAGACAGAGUCUAGCUCUGUCACCCAGGCUGGAGUGCAGUGGUGCAAUCUCGGCUCACUGCAACCUUCGCCUCCCAGGUUCAAGCAAUUCUCCUGCCUCAGCCUCCUGAGUAACUGGGAUUACAGGCAUGUGCUGCCAUACCUGGCUAAUUUUUGUAUUUUUAGUAAAGGUGGGGUUUCACCAUGUUGUCCAGGCUAGUCUCAAAGUCCUGACCUCAAGUAAUCUGCCUGCCUUGGCCUCCCAAAGUGCUAGGAUUACAGGCAUGAGCCACUGCGCCUGGCCAAAUGCAAAAUUUUUAAAUGGUCAUUGCAAAUAGUUUUUUCGUUUGUUUGUUUGUUUUUUUUGAGACAGGGUCUCACUUUGUCACCCAAGCUGGAAAGCAGCCACGCAAUCUCAGUUCACUAUAACUUCCACCUCCUGGACUCAAGUGAUCCUCCCACCUCAGCCUUCUGAGUAGUUGGGACCACAGGUGUGCGCCACCAUGCCCAGCUAAUUUUUGUGUUUUUUUUAGAGACAGGGUUUUGCCAUGUUGCCCCGGCUGAUCUUGAACUGGCCACAAGCAAUCCACCUGCUUUGGCCUCCCAAAAUGCUGGGGUUACAGGAGUAAGCCACCAUGCCUGGCCUGCAAAUAGUUUUUAAUAGCAUGAGAAAGUGUUUAUUAUACAAUAUUAAGAGAAAAAAUCAUGACACUCAAUAUUAUGUGUGUGGGCGGGGGGGUAGGGGAGUUGGUAUAUAACAUGCUUCCAACCAUGUAAAAUAAAUGUAUGCAUAAAUAACAAAAGCAAGAUUUAAUAUGUGUAUUCCAUGCCUUCCCUUCUCCACCCACUAAUGGCAAAGAGGCCAAAAAAAAAAAAAAAUUAAGAGGAGGAUUGAAGUAAAGAAGCUAAGUCUGUCAAGAUAAUAAAAGGCUGGGGAAGAAGGGGAAGUAAACAGUAAAGACUGCAGUUGCAAAGGAGAGGAAGUAUCUUUUGAAAAGAGGAUCUGUUGCCAGGUGCGGUGGUUCAUGCCCAUAAUCCCAGCACUCUGGGAGGCCGAGGCAGGGGGGUCACUU